UGAGGGUAUUUCGCCCGAGACCUGGUA
rnacentral:piRNA from 1 species